rnacentral:rRNA from 1 species
UACGGAGGGGGCUAGCGUUGUUCGGAAUUACUGGGCGUAAAGCGCGCGUAGGCGGACCUGCAAGUCGGGUGUGAAAGCCCGAGGCUCAACCUCGGAACUGCCUUCGAUACUGCGGGUCUCGAGUCCGGGAGAGGUGAGUGGAAUUCCUAGUGUAGAGGUGAAAUUCGUAGAUAUUAGGAAGAACACCAGUGGCGAAGGCGGCUACCUGGCCCACUCUUGACGCUGAGGCGCGAAAGCUAGGGGAGCAAACGGG